ACUCAAAUGAAUUGACGGGGACUUGCACAAGCGGUGGAUUAUGCGGUUCAAUUCGAUGACAAACGAAAAACCUUACCAAGGCUAGAAAUUUAGAUGAAUGUUGCAGAAACGUAACAGUCCGCAAGGACAUCUAAACAGGUGAUGCAUGGCCGUCGUCAGUUCGUGAUUUGAAUUGUUCCCUUAAGUGGGGUAACGAACGCAACCCUCUUUGGCUGUUACACGUAUCAGCCGAGACUACUCAGCACUAAGCGCACUUCGUGAGAGCGAAGCGAAUUUAGUGCUGAGAGGAAGCGAGGAUGACGCCAGGUCAGCAUGUCCCUCUGACGCCUUGGGCCACACGCAUAAUACAAUGGUCACUACAACGGGUCGCGACGAGGUAACUCUGAGCUAAUCCUAUAAAGGUGGCCCCAGUUCGGAUUGAGGGCUGCAACUCGACCUCAUGAAGUUGGAAUCGCUAGUAAUCGCGGGUCAGCUAUACCGCGGUGAAUACGUUCUCAAGUCUUGCACACACCGCCCGU
rnacentral:rRNA from 1 species